GAUGACUUGUGGCUGGGGGUGAAAGGCCAAUCAAACCGGGAGAUAGCUGGUUCUCCCCGAAAGCUAUUUAGGUAGCGCCUCGUGAACUCAUCUCCGGGGGUAGAGCACUGUUUCGGCAAGGGGGUCAUCCCGACUUACCAACCCGAUGCAAACUGCGAAUACCGGAGAAUGUUAUCACGGGAGACACACGGCGGGUGCUAACGUCCGUCGUGAAGAGGGAAACAACCCAGACCGCCAGCUAAGGUCCCAAAGUCAUGGUUAAGUGGGAAACGAUGUGGGAAGGCCCAGACAGCCAGGAUGUUGGCUUAGAAGCAGCCAUCAUUUAAAGAAAGCGUAAUAGCUCACUGGUCGAGUCGGCCUGCGCGGAAGAUGUAACGGGGCUAAACCAUGCACCGAAGCUGCGGCAGCGACACUAUGUGUUGUUGGGUAGGGGAGCGU
rnacentral:rRNA from 1 species